rnacentral:rRNA from 1 species
CGGUAGAGGGGGCAACCCCUUGAGAGUGGCGAACGGGUGAGUAAUGUAUCGGAACGUGCCCAGUCGUGGGGGAUAACGUAGUGAAAAUUACGCUAAUACCGCAUACGAUCUAUGGAUGAAAGCGGGGGAUCGCAAGACCUCGCGCGAUUGGAGCGGCCGAUAUCAGAUUAGGUAGUUGGUAGGGUAAAGGCCUACCAAGCCAACGAUCUGUAGCUGGUCUGAGAGGACGACCAGCCACACUGGAACUGAGACACGGUCCAGACUCCUACGGGAGGCAGCAGUGGGGAAUUUUGGACAAUGGGCGAAAGCCUGAUCCAGCCAUUCCGCGUGCAGGAUGAAGGCCCUCGGGUUGUAAACUGCUUUUGUACAGAACGAAAAGGUUUCUAUUAAUACUAGGAGCUCAUGACGGUACUGUAAGAAUAAGCACCGGCUAACUACGUGCCAGCAGCCGCGGUAAUACGUAGGGUGCAAGCGUUAAUCGGAAUUACUGGGCGUAAAGCGUGCGC